rnacentral:rRNA from 1 species
GAUGAACGCUAGCUACAGCUUAACACAUGCAAGUCGAGGGGCAGCAUGGUCUUAGCUUGCUAAGGCUGAUGGCGACCGGCGCACGGGUGAGUAACACGUAUCCAACCUGCCGUCUACUCUUGGCCAGCCUUCUGAAAGGAAGAUUAAUCCAGGAUGGCAUCAUGAGUUCACAUGUCCGCAUGAUUAAAGGUAUUUUCCGGUAGACGAUGGGGAUGCGUUCCAUUAGAUAGUAGGCGGGGUAACGGCCCACCUAGUCAACGAUGGAUAGGGGUUCUGAGAGGAAGGUCCCCCACAUUGGAACUGAGACACGGUCCAAACUCCUACGGGAGGCAGCAGUGAGGAAUAUUGGUCAAUGGGCGAUGGCCUGAACCAGCCAAGUAGCGUGAAGGAUGACUGCCCUAUGGGUUGUAAACUUCUUUUAUAAAGGAAUAAAGUCGGGUAUGCAUACCCGUUUGCAUGUACUUUAUGAAUAAGGAUCGGCUAACUCCGUGCCAGCAGCCGCGGUAAUACGGAGGAUCCGAGCGUUAUCCGGAUUUAUUGGGUUUAAAGGGAGCGUAGAUGGAUGUUUAAGUCAGUUGUGAAAGUUUGCGGCUCAACCGUAAAAUUGCAGUUGAUACUGGAUGUCUUGAGUGCAGUUGAGGCAGGCGGAAUUCGUGGUGUAGCGGUGAAAUGCUUAGAUAUCACGAAGA